UUCCUUGUCAUCUCUUCAGGCGCUGCUUCGAGCUGCUUGAACCCCACGGCACCUUCGCCAUCUUCCCUAGUUCCUCGCCGAUGGCGGAUUCGUUGACCUACAUCGUAAUCGAAUCCAUCCCUUUCCCUCUGCUUCUUCCUUAACCUCCGCUCGUUACAAUCUCUCUCUCUCUGUGCCAGGCGGGCGUACGCCCAAAAGUUGCUGGUGUUCAAUGCAUCUCUUCCCGGCAUCCACUUCUGAGUCCUUCCAACGUCUUUGUGGGCCUGAAAUCCUGUCCGAGACCGGAAUUUUCGUCUUCCUUCGGUCUCCGAUCAGCGCCCGGUUCCCCAUGAAAAGCCCGCUGCACGAUUUCGCCUCGCGCGGAGCUGAGGGUUUGACGAUUUCGAUGGAUAACUCUGGUUCUUAAAAUUUUGAAUUUUUGAAGCCAAACUUUCGUGCUCUUUGCACAGGUGAGAAGGGCUUCGGGUACAAGGGAUCUUCGUUUCAUCACGUGAUCAAGGGUUUCAUGAUUCAAGGAGGAGACUUCGACGAAGGAAAUGUAGGUGCUGCUGCUGCUGAUUUGAGAGUGGAUGUGUAAAUAGUAAAAGUAGUCUCAUGAGUUUAAUACUUUAUGGUCGGUUAUAAGAAAGAAUAUAUCACACAAACGGAUUGAAAAUUUGAAAUGGAAAACUUUCUUGACCAAAAAACGGUGCAGCACUAUUAAAUAAUAUUUGUUCAUAUCAUAUUAUUCAAAGAACUUCAACAAGUCAUACCGAGCAUACAAAGCUUAUGUGAAGAUAUAUAAUAAAUAUCCAGGAACUUGUAAGAACAAUCUCAAGGAUAAAUAAUAAUAUGAACUUUUGACAUAUUUGUCAGUCUUGUACAAGUUACAUGAUCCGACAUGUUUACAUAAGUGAACUUAGAUUAAGUCAUUGAUAGUAGAUGGUAUAACUACAGUAAUAUAUGAUGUCUUUUUUAUAACGUCUCUCUUGAGAAACUCAUAGGGAUGUUAAAUACUAUAUUAACUGAAGUUACUGAAUAAAUUGGUUCAAUGAAUUUAUACAGCAGAAAAGUCAUCAUGUAUACCUCCUGGCUCAUGUAUCAUCCUGUUCAACUGUGGUGUUAAUGCUCAGUAGCACAUAAUCUUGGAGUCUUCUUAUAUACUUAAAUGAUAGCACUUUGGUAUAUGAUUUACUUAGGAAGUACCUAGCAAGUUCCUCAAUAAGGAAGCUAGUAUUUUCUAUUUAGUUGGUUAUCGAUGUCUUUAUUGUUAAAUACUGUGUGGGCACUUUUAAGUUUGCAGCGCAAUAUCAAUUCCGAUGAAAGAAAGAUCAAUUUUACAUGGAAAUCAUUUAGCAGACUGAACCAUUUCUUUAUCACAACUUUCUGAUAGAGAUCUAUUACAAGUCUUCUUGAAAAAAAUGGGGGACUGGUGGUAAAAGUAUUUAUGGCCGCACAUUUAAAGAUGAAAACUUCAAAGUGUAAGCUGAACAUUAUGAGGCAUUUAUUAUAACUGUAUUAUAUGGAUAAAAAGAUGCUUAUAUUUACUCUGAGUUGCCAGUGGUUCAUGUGGGACCAGGAGUGGUUAGUAUGGCAAAUGCGGAACCUAACACUAACGGAAGUCAGUUCUUCAUUUGCACUGUGAAGUUUUUAAAUGUGAUUACUCUAGAAGACUUAAUGCACCACUGAGCUAAGUAUUUGAACGUUCGACAUCAUUGCUAUUCUGGGGAAAAGAAAACAAACUUCGACAGACCGUGGUGAAGUUCUUGAUGGUAUGGACAUGGUGAAGUUGAUUGAGCCUCAAGAGACGGACCGUGGAGAUCGGCCAAAGAAGAGGGUUGCCAUCAGUGACAGUGGUGAGCUUCCAGUGGUCUAAACAAGAUUUUUUUUUUUUUGUCUGACUAGAAGGAUCAUCUGCCAUUAGUCUCUCCAAUUUUCUAGUUUUCAUUCUGUCCCGAUGAACAUCUGAAUACUGAAUCGAUUGCCUGCUGCCUCGAUUCCAGGUUUUAGUUUACAGAAAUAAGAAGAGAAACAUUUCCAUUAAA